CCGAGUUUACAACUCCAAACCCCUGUGAACAUACCACUUGUUGCCUCGGCGGAUCAGCCCGCUCCCGGUAGAACGGGACGGCCCGCCAGAGGACCCCUAAACUCUGUUUCUAUAUGUAACUUCUGAGUAAACCAUAAAUAAAUCA
rnacentral:misc_RNA from 1 species